AAAAAGGUAUAACUUAUAUCAUUUUUUAAAAGAAAUUCAUUUGCUCACGCUAAGUGUUGUGCUAGGUUUUGGUGAAAUAGGCAUGCAUAGGACAUGAUCAUUGCCCUAAACCAAUUCAUAUUUUUAGAGGGGGAAUAGGCCUAGACACAAGGGGGAGAAAUGAAAAGGGGGAGAAGUGAAAUGAUGUGGAAUGCCAAAGUGACCAAAUUUAAAGUUUUAAAUGGGAACACUACAUAUUUACCAGAUCCAGUGCCAGGUCUGGUUGAAAUGCUGUCAGAAAAAUAAAACUGUAUAGAGAGUAACAUAAAAAAUACUCCACAAGGUUCAACACAACCAAGUAUAGAAGGAUAGGACUGAUAUGACCUGGCUCAUUCAAGUACCUAAUAAAAAGAGUCCCAGCCAUUUUGAGCCCAGCACAAGCCCACACCGAGUAUAACCACAGGCUCUGCUCUAUGAACCAAAGCAGGAAGAUGUUUUGUCCGACACUCUGAUUUUUAGGACAUUUCUAGAGCAAUGUGCUCAUGGCUGGCCUGUCAUUUUUAGAAGGACAUUGGCAAAAGAGGCUAUCUGGAAUGACUGUCGUGAUCUAUCUAGCCUUAGGGAAAAGAACAGGUGUUGGGAAAUGUGGGGGUGAGGUCUGAUGUCUGCCUCUGAGAGCUCGCAGAUUUCUUGAUGGUCCACCUAGAACAGGAGUGAGCUCAUGUCAUUGGGUACAACCCUGAUACUGGAAGGCUGCUUAUAAGGAUGUUGCAUGACCUGUUUUUGCAUUGAGAGGGAGAUGAUUUCUAAAUUCCCUUUCCUGUCCAAACCUCUUAUCAUGAAAAAAUAUUAACAGUUAACCAAUCAGUUAGUUAUUCAUUAUUUAUGCAAUAGCUACAAUGUGUAACCAUGUCUAUUUCAAUUCCCAGUUCCUAUUUUUACUCAUCUCUGGGGCCUUAAUACUGUUAUGGCCUCUCUCAGCCUUUGGUCAUGAUCCUUUUUCCUUUAUAGUAGCUCCUUUUUGACUUGCUGUGUGUGUGUGUUUGUGUGGCUUCUUUCCUUUUUCUUUCCUGUAUUAUAAGGUUAACAUCCCAAAUAAUUUAAGUUACAUGUUCCUUGAUACAGAAAAGCAUCACUGAGUCAGAUGCCUUUUCUGCUUUUACCUACACAUUUGUGACCAUGAAAGCCCUCUUUUUUUUUUUUAACCUCUGUGUCUUUUACAUAGGGCAUUUUUUACAUCUGAGAAUCAUUUCAUCCCAUAUCUGCUUGCCAGGUGAGUCUUCUUAAAACACAGUUCUGACUGAUUUUCUUUCCCAGAAAUCUCUAAUACUUUUCAAUUGCUUACAGGAACAAGCUCAAACUCCUUAUCCUCAGAUUUACAGAAUCACCUAAUCGUGUCUCAAUUUCCUUUUCCUGCCUUAUCUCAUUCCAUUCUCUUAAAAAGUCUGACUCAGGUUAAGUUGAUCUUCCUGGUGUUUCUCAAGCACAUUUCAUUCUUUUUUUUUUUAAGUCAAAAACUUUCAACAUGUUUUCUGCAUUCAUUUUUGGUGCUUCCUCCAUUGUGUCCAUCAUCCCUGAAGGAUGUUGAAAUCCUAAUAAUCUUGCCCAGUGCAGCUCAAGGAGCCCUUCCUUUAUAAAGCCUCCUCUGGCCCCCUGCCUGAAGCACUGGUUCUCAAAGCAGGUAUGGUCCAUUCCACCCUGGGACGUAUUCUAUUUGUUGAUUGGCAAGAUUAGUUACUCUUUAUAAAUACAAUUUAUGUUUGUAUGAUUUCAUGCCAGUUCUGCACAAUGAGAGAUCAAGAAUGCAUCUUCUCUGUCUCUACCCCUCAGUAUAUAAAAUGCCCCGUGUUUAACAGAACUCAACAAAUAUAUGUGUUCUCCAGGUGGCCGAGUUCUCUAGACCUGAAAGGAGAUUGGAGAUCUGGAGAGCUGGUUGAUUGAUUAAUAGAAGCUGAACCAAAAGACUAUUGAGCACUUUGUGUCUAGCUAUGUACUCAAAAUAACAGAUUUUGACUAAGUGGUUUUUAUUAGUACUUAUUAUUGAAGUUGAUUUAUAAAGAAAGAUGCAUAGUAUGGAUGAGCAAUUUGAUGCAAAAAUAAAUCUAAAGCAUAGCUAAAAUUAACCUGUGGAGAAAUCUUUCCACAGUUUAAUGGUCUUGUCAAAAUUUAAAGGCUCAGCGUCUUCUUGAGACUGAUGCUCCUUAAUGGGUAUUCAGUGAAACCCCAGACUGGCGAUUCAUCACGGUUUAUAUUUACAACAUGUAGCACUACUGCAUUCCAGCAGGUGGCGCUGCUUCUCCGAAGAAAUUGUUCUUGUUCUACUCUGCAGGCACCCUGACUCUCCUUCCCAUUGCUUCUACAAAGGCCAGACCCCGAAGAGCAAUCUGAGUAUCUUACAUUAGUGGAAAUAAGAGGUGCUUAAAAUUAUUAUAUAUUCCUUGACAGACAAGGUUUUCAUAGAGUCAGGUUUUUAUUUUUUCUUUAUUCAUGCCUUUCAUUUUCACAUUUCUGAUCUUGGAAGACCAGGUUCAUCUCUGUCAUCCCUGAGCCCUUCACACAUUGAGAGGCUUUUUCAGAUCUUACAGUCAGCUGGGACCGAGAGAACCUGAGUAGGAAUUGAGGCCCACCCGUCCUUCCUUCAGGAAAUUCCCAUGCCUUUGAAGCUAUUCCAUGAAAAUUAAUUCAGUAAUUUCAUCAGCUUGGGAAGUCCUCUUUAUGGAGAAACCUUUAGUUUCCUCUCUUUAUGGAGCAUCAUUGAUAUCUGAAGGGUCCUCAGAAUUUCUGCAGUAAAGAACCCCUUGGAGGACUUCAGGCUAAACCAAAAAAUGUCUACUGCCCAAGCACAGAGGGUCCCGUGGGAACUCCCCCCCACCACUCCCUCACAGACUGGCUGCGGUGCAGAGAGCUGGGGGCAUCUGAGUUGGAGAAGCUACCCAGGUUCCCAGAGACCCUGAGUGAGUGAAACGACAUUUGGACAGAUUUCUGGAGCAAUUGGGCAGCUGCAGAAAACGCUCUUGAAGUUGGGUAAGCAUUGAACCAGGAUCUUCAGUGAAAGGAUUCUGGGUCAUUCAGCUGAAUUUUCCUGUGCAGAACUGGUGUUAUCACAAAGUGAAUGAAACCUAAAACUCCAGAGCCCAUCACUUAGAUGAACUCUUUGCAAGGCUGUGAAAGCUAACAGAAUGGCAUAGAUACAGAUGCGGGCUGUGCUCCAGGGAAACAGAAAGCAGAGAUUGUCCAUCUUUGCCAGGGAGAUUGAUGACUUAGUCAAUAUCACUGUGGGACACCUGGGAAAGGCUGCCUCUCCCCUGCCCACAACUGCUUCCUGAUUAUCAGCUCACCAGUGGCUGUCAUCUUGUUCCUUUCUUUAUUACAGCAAAGGAAUGUUAAGCUUUCCUAAAUCCUUAUUCAAAAUGUCCUUGAAGAAAAACAAUGGGGGUCAAGAAAAUGGGAGCUUCACAUUAUAAUUUUCUGCAAAUCUCUUAAAUAUCUUUGGAAAAUGCUAUUUAUUUGACUCAGUUUCCCUCUUGCUUGGGGAUAUUAGGUCUACCUAGAUGCCUAGAUGCCUUCGAUACCUUGAAUAGUCAACAGAAAGUAGGAUCUUUUCCAUUAUGUCCUGUUUAGAUUUCAUAUUAUCUCACUGAAUUUGAAAAGAUCUAAUAAAAAUUGCUAACACCA